rnacentral:tmRNA from 1 species
GCCUCUUAAAAAACGAGAACAAAAAACAAACGCUAACGAAGAUAAUUUCGCUUUAGCCGCGGCUUGAUAGCCGCCCGUCAGUCCAUCGUAGCUGAACCUUGGGGAACUGGCGUCACCGAUUCAGCCCCUAUGCGCCGCAGGUCAGACGCCUGAACUGGUCGGCCAAAGCUUUGAGGUCGCGCCCGAUCUUAUGAAGCUACCGGAACUUUUGCCCUGCCUGUUGGGGCGUUGAGCCGGGAAUCUCAAUCAGCAGGCUACACCCGUAGAAACACUCGUGGAUACAGCUUCGGACAGGGGUUCGACCCCCCUCAUCUCCAUUC